rnacentral:rRNA from 1 species
AGAACCUUACCUGGUCUUGACAUCCUGGGAAUCCCGUAGAGAUAUGGGAGUGCCGCAAGGAACCCAGAGACAGGUGCUGCAUGGCUGUCGUCAGCUCGUGUCGUGAGAUGUUGGGUUAAGUCCCGCAACGAGCGCAACCCUUGUCCUUAGUUGCCAUCAUUCAGUUGGGCACUCUAAGGAGACCGCCGGUGACAAACCGGAGGAAGGUGGGGAUGACGUCAAGUCAUCAUGGCCUUUAUGACCAGGGCUACACACGUGCUACAAUGGCCGGUACAACGGGCAGCAAGAUCGCGAGAUCAAGCGAAUCCCUAAAAACCGGUCUCAGUUCGGAUUGAAGGCUGCAACUCGCCUUCAUGAAGUCGGAAUCGCUAGUAACCGCAGAUCAGCUACGCUGCGGUGAAUACGUUCCCGGGCCUUGUCACACCGA